rnacentral:lncRNA from 1 species
UUCUUGCUUUAGCUCUUAUAUUUGUGUGUUUUACUUUUAAAUAGUCAAAAAGUUUUUAAAACACCCAAUUCACCCCCCUCUUGGGUGACCAUCUCUGGGCAACAACAAGCGCAAGGGGGAAUCUGGGAAAUAUUUGGAAGAAGAAAUGAUGAACCGUGAGCUGGGAGAUGAUCGCGGAUGGGAGGUUCUAAUCCGUGAGCUGCUGUGUUCUGUUUCCGUGAAGUCUGGGAAGAAGAAUCGGCAGAGGGGAAGAUGAAUCUGAUGAUGUUAGGAAUGAAUGGAUUCUGAAUGGGAUAGCUUGAUUCGAACAGGAUUGGCUGCGGAUGUUUGGGAGAUAUCUAGAAAGAAUCCGGGUGAAGAGGAGGAUCGGUGAAGCUGAGAGGAUCUCGGCUGGGAGGAAGGCUUUGUUUGGAUGCCGUGAAGCUCGGGAGGGAACGGGAAGAAGACGCGGAGAAACGGAUGGAGCUGGGACGCUGAGAUGUGAAUGGAUGUAGAUGGAGCUGAUCCGAAGUUUGGGGGAUGAACUUGGAUGAAGAUGAUACGGUUGGAACACCUGGGAGAUAAGAUCACGAUGCUUCAAUCGCGGAACGCAAGCUGGACGCGAGAGAAAGGUUGGAUUCGGCUGGGAGCAGGGGAUCUGUGGAUGGAGUUAAUCUGGAAUGAGAGGAGAUCUAUGAGUUCGGAAGAAGAUUGUGAGAGCCAAUCGUUUGGGAUGUUCAUCCGAUUGGGAACAGGGGAGAUUGGGAAUGGCUGAAGACGCGUGGAAGACAUCUUGGACAU